AGAUCAUCUGGCAGUUUCACC
rnacentral:miRNA from 2 species